GCAUAGUUCCCUGGCCAAGGAAGGAUGCUCUUUGCUGGCUCAGUUUGUUCAAGGGGUUACUGCUGACGUGAGAGCCCUGGUAACUGGCCAGAUGUCUCCUAGCGACAGGGUCUCCUUCGCGGCAACAGUGAGGCUCUCCUUAGCAACUGCAGCCUUUUGGUCCCUAACUGGCCUCCCUGUGGGAGUUUCUAUAGCAGCUCCCUGAACAUCAACUCAACCUGAUUAGGAGCAGACAGGCUUCUGGACUAAUCUAUAGACUCCCAACCCAAGGCCGAUCCCAAGCAGGCAGCUUCAGGCUUUAAGCAGGCUCUGGGCCUUUUCAAAGUAUAUGUUUAUAUGAACCGUGCUCAAGAUUGCCAUGAAUGUUUCGGAGCCCAACUGAAGGUCGGAAGCAUGUGUUUCGUUAUCAGCAAAUGUCACUUCAUGCAAUGUUCUGCUGGAUAGCUGUCUGGUGGAUGUUGCUGGCUUCAGCUGGAGUGAAGUAGGGGAGAUCAAGACCCAGGAGUCUUCCCUAGAGGAGAAGGCCGAGAAGGCCGAGGUCGCUGGCACUGGAG